AUUAGAGUUUGAUCCUGGCUCAGAUUGAACGCUAGCGGUAUGCUUAACACAUGCAAGUCGAACGGCAGCACGAGGAGCUUGCUCCUUGGUGGCGAGUGGCGGACGGGUGAGUAACGCGUAGGAAUCUACCUAGUAGUGGGGGACAACCCGAGGAAACUCGGGCUAAUACCGCAUACGCCCUUCGGGGGAAAGCGGGGGAUCUUCGGACCUCGCGCUAUUAGAUGAGCCUGCGUCAGAUUAGCUUGUUGGUAGGGUAAUGGCCUACCAAGGCAACGAUCUGUAGCUGGUCUGAGAGGACGACCAGCCACACUGGGACUGAGACACGGCCCAGACUCCUACGGGAGGCAGCAGUGGGGAAUAUUGGACAAUGGGCGAAAGCCUGAUCCAGCAAUACCGCGUGUGUGAAGAAGGCCUUUGGGUUGUAAAGCACUUUCAGUGGGGAAGAAAACAUUAAGGUCAAUACCCUUAAUCUUGACGUUACCCACAGAAGAAGCACCGGCUAACUCUGUGCCAGCAGCCGCGGUAAUACAGAGGGU
rnacentral:rRNA from 1 species